rnacentral:rRNA from 1 species
UACGUAGGGUGCAAGCGUUUAAUCGGAAUUACUGGGCGUAAAGCGUGCGCAGGCGGUUUUGUAAGUCUGUCGUGAAAUCCCCGGGCUUAACCUGGGAAUGGCGAUGGAGACUGCAAGGCUAGAGUUUGGCAGAGGGGGGUAGAAUUCCACGUGUAGCAGUGAAAUGCGUAGAGAUGUGGAGGAACACCGAUGGCGAAGGCAGCCCCCUGGGUCAAGACUGACGCUCAUGCACGAAAGCGUGGGGAGCAAACAGG